rnacentral:snoRNA from 1 species
CAACCCUCUUUCACUUUGCCAAUUGGACUUAUGACUUUGUCAUUCAAGUGGGCAAAAUUAAGAUUCAGGCAUACAGUGUAUCAUAACCUGUCAGAAGAAACAAAU